UUGAGGGGACAGCUGCGCCCUCUCCUGCCCCUGCCGGGGGUGGGGAGACAAGACGCGGACCGGAGGGGGCGCCCAGAACUCUGGGGGCUGCAGCCUGUGGACCCCCGAAGGCUCCCAGCAGCGGUCGUCCGGAGGUGACAGGGCCUGAUCCCGGGGCCUCCGCGGGCGCCGAAACCCUCCGCGGACCCGGAGCGAGGGGAGGUGCGCGAGGGCGCCCGGUGCUGCGGAAAGCGGGUCUCCCAGGGCGCUCCGAAGACACCGCCCCGGGGCGGAGACGAAGACGCGGUCCUCCCGGGACAAGAGACCAGCCUGAGAAAGGGCGGUAUAGCUUCCAGUCUCCACAACAGCCCUAUGAGAUCCCACUCACACCCCUUCCCCAAAUUAUGUUAGAGGCUAUAAAGGAUGCCACAGCCCUAUGCUGCCUUGGAGGGCAGGGCACCGCCCUGCAAGGUUUCUCAGGCACCGAAGGCUGAGCUGAGUGGAGAGAGGAGUCCUGGACGCCCUGUUGAGAAAGACAGACUGGGGGUUGCAGCAGCUGAAGAUCACAAGAGAGAAGCAGAUAUCCAAACCCUGGUCUUCCUGCACUAAAGCCCUCAGCUGAUACACCGAACUGCGUCCCAGAAAAAGCACCAAGCACUGCACAAAUGGAAAGCAUUUUGUCAAAAUUAUGAUUAUAAACUCAUGCCCGAUUCGUGAGUUACAAAAACAAAACGUAAACAGCACAGCCUGAGUUGUUAAAGCGACUUUUUUCUAAAAGCUCAACGUGCUUUCACUUCAUGGUCUCUCUUCUCCUAAUUUUAUGAUUGUCAUUUUUCUAACCGUUCUCUAAGAGCGCUGUCUCCCAACACUCCUCGGAGGAAAGGAGGAAAUAAGCAGAAGUCAAACCGUAUUACAAUCAGUUCCCAGGGAACAGUGGGAGACUGUGCUUCGCUGGGCUUUGGUGUUGCAAAAUAUCACUUGACAAAAAAAUUGGAAGCAACUUAGAUGGUUAUCAGCAGGAUGGAGUCAGCUAGGGGAUCAUUCUAAACAACCAUCCAGAGAUGUAGCAACAUGAAAAUAAUGCUUACAGUAUAGUUGUGAGCAAAAAGGAGAAGACAAAAAACACUGUGCAUGCACUCUGUCCUUGCAACCACUAAAAAUAAAUAUAAGUGCUCGUGAUCCAAGACUCAAAAGGACCAUGCACAAAGGAAACAGGCUUUGUUUAAGGUCGAGAGAUUAUGGCUGAUUUUUUUGUCUUAAUUUCCUAAAUAUUCUACAAUAUACUAUAUGGCCUUAAUAACUAAACACACGCAUAGCUCUAUCUUUAAAUGUGGUAAUUCUUUUUUUUUUAAUGUCUAUUUAUUUUUGAGAGACAGAGACAGAGUGUGAGUGGGAGAGGGGCAGAGACAAAGGAAGACACAGAAUCGGAAGCAGGCUCCAGGCUCUGAGCUGUCAGCCCAGAGCCCCACGUGGGGCUAGAACUCACCAACUGUGAGAUUGUGACCUGAGCCGAAGUUGGAAGCUUAACGGAUAGUGCCACGGAGGCACUGAGACACCCCUAAACAUGGCAACUCUUAAUGUGAUAUCUACGUUGGAAAAACUUUUUUAAACACAAAAGCAUUGGAAGAUCUAUUGAAAUAAACAAUGCUAGUUUGAGAGUACAUAGAAAUUUAAAUGUUUUAAACUUCAAAAACUACUAUUAACACAUAAGGUUAAAAGUUUGGAAGGAUAUACUCCAAAAAUGUUAGUCACAAGUCCAAGGGGUAGGAAUGUAGGAGAUUUUUACUUUCUUCUUUAUGAUUUGCUAUAAUGUCUGAUUUUCUUUACCAUGAUAGCCCAUUGUUUUCACGAUCACAAACAAAACACUAAGAUCCAGUAUAACUGGGCAAAUGGCACAGAUGGACAAUUCACAAAAUCGGAAUUUCAAAUGAUCAAUUAACAGGUUUAAAAAAAAAAGCAUUUAUUAAAUCAACGAAUUAUAUCA